rnacentral:rRNA from 1 species
AAUUAUGGACAAUGGGCGCAAGCCUGAUCCAGCCAUGCCGCGUGAGUGAAGAAGGCCUUCGGGUUGUAAAGCUCUUUCGGACGGACAGAACUCGCGCCGGCUACUACCCUGCGCGGUUUAAGGUACCGUCCUAAGAAGCAUCGGCUAACUGCGUCCCAGCAGCCGCGGUAAUACGUAGGGUGCAAGCGUUAAUCGGAAUUACUGGGCGUAAAGCGUGAGCAGGCGGUAGAUUAAGACAGGCCUAAAAUCCCCGGGCUUAACCUGGGAACUGCGCUUGUGACUGGUCAGCUAGAGGACGGCAGAGGGGGGUGGAAUUCCACGUGUAGCAGUGAAAUGCGUAGAGAUGUGGAGGAACACCGAUGGCGAAGGCAGCCCCCUGGGCCGAUACUGACGCUCAUGCACGAAAGCGUGGGUAGCAAACAGG